UACAGAGGGUGCGAGCGUUAAUCGGAAUUACUGGGCGUAAAGCGUGCAUAGACGGUUUCGUAAGUCGGGUGUGAAAUCCCCGGGCUCAACCUGGGAAUUGCAUUCGAAACUGCGAGGCUAGGGUACGGAAGAGGGAAGCGGAAUUUCUGGUGUAGCGGUGAAAUGCGUAGAUAUCAGAAGGAACAUCAGUGGCGAAAGCGGCUUCCUGGUCCAGUACCGACGUUCAGGCACGAAAGCGUGGGGAGCAAACAGG
rnacentral:rRNA from 1 species